CCCAAUAAGAACACAUGAACCACACUUUCUCCAAGAGAAUGGGCAAGUGAGUAAGAAGGAUAAUAAGAACCAUUGCAUUUCACUUCGGAUUCCUAAGGACAAUGAUAACAGAAUCUCCUCGGAGGAACAUUUUACUGAUGAACCUAUCUUUGUUGAUUGGUUGAGCUUUCUUCUUGCCUUUUCCAGUUUUUGGCACCUCAGUCCACAUCUCCCUGAC
rnacentral:misc_RNA from 1 species